rnacentral:sRNA from 1 species
UUUUUUCUUUAUAAUUAUUCCCCUAUUUGAAAAAUCAACUUGUAUAUGAGGCAGCAAACACCUUGCAGGGCAGCCUUCCCUUUUAGUUUCAGGACGCGGUGGUGGAUGGAACCACUGUAACCUGGCCUCCCUCCAUGAGAGGAGGGAAUCCAGGUGGCCAUGUUGAAAUGUGCCUGUGUGCAGCAAGGCUUCUGAAAUGACAAGAGAGCCCAGCAGCUUCCAAAGCAGCUGUGACUCUGGAUCUCACCCAUCAUCUCUGCUUCUCACUGUUAGAGGAGUGAAUCUGUGCUGCCUUAGGAGGCAUGGAACCUGGGACUUUUCUUCCUUGUUUAAUGUUUAAUUUUAUUAAAAAAAUUUGUAAGUGAUAGAUGUUGAUCUCGUGACAAAAGAGAGAUUCCCUCUUUAUAAAACUAUUCUAACUAAAGAUCUUUUGUAAACCCAUGUGUUAGAAAUAAAACUUGAAUAUCCCC